rnacentral:lncRNA from 1 species
CCCGCCCCGCGCUUCCGGGAGGGGGAGGGGAGAGGCCGGUGGCCGCGCGGGAGCCCUAGGCCGCAGCCGCCGCCUGUCGGCCCGGCCCGGGUCCCAGCUGCUCCUGCGGCGCUCCCACGCCCCCGCGGGCGGGCGGCGGGGCCGGGAGGGGGCCUCGGCUGGGGCGGGCGCCGGGAGGGACCGAGUCGGGGCCGGAGGCUGGCCGCGUGCCCACCGGGCCGGCGCCGGGGCGAGCCUGGGCCGCGGCCCCCUCUUCCCGCCAGCCAGCCCACCCCGCCCCGGCGGCCUCUGGGAAAACGCGUCCCGGGCGAGCCCCUGAGGGCAGGAUCGGAGUCGGGGGCACCUGGGGAAGGAGAGCGCCCCGUGGGGCCUCGGCCGGUGGCCUGUGCCAAAAGGCCGGGCAGAGCUGCUUCGGUGUCUGGGUGAAGUUUCCAGCCAACCCAAGAAGGAAACCGAAAGGGAAGAGGCCGAGAGAGAGCCGCCUUCUCUCUAGCUACUGAGGGGAAAAGUCAGGAUGAAGCGGGUCCCUCGGCCUCCAGAAGGUGUUUUAUUACAGUCGCAAACAGGUAGAGCGGCAGCCACCCCAGUGAUGACUCCCUGCUCCUUAGAUUGUAGGGACGCUGGCACCUCACUCAUGCUCCUAAGUGGCCAUUUUGCGCCCUGGCUGGGCGAGUUAGGCAGACAAAAUGAGCCCCCAAAAGUUUAAAGGCCUCCACCAAAGGAGUAUUUCUUUUCUGAGGUGUCAUUGUAUUCCAUCCACGAACUUCAGUUCCCCCGGGUGCUCUGGAUCUGACAUGGAGUAGGAUGCUAACAUCUAAUCCCUUCUUUCCCUUUGGAAAGAUGCAUGUUUUUUCUCGGAGUCCUAGGGAAUACCUUAGAAUACUUUCAUGGUUGUCAUUGGUACACCCAUCCCUUGAGGAGCCCUGCCACCCGUAAGUAGGACUGCAAGGAAAUACAAAAUUAAGAGAAGUAUGAACCCUGAUACCCAGGAACUUAAAAUCAGGUGUAUAAAUUUUGUACACCUAAAAAAUAUGGUACCUAAAGAGGCGAACAGCAAAACAAGCAAGAAUGUGAAUCUUUAAAAUGUUUCUAUUCUUCAGCGCAGCCCAGGAAUUCUACCUAAAGUAACAUAUCCUAAGGCAACAACCAAGAAGUGUGGAAGAAUGCAUGUAAGAAGACACAGUGAUGUUUAGAAUCCUGGGGAAACGGAACAGCCAAAAAGUCUCACAGAGGUUAAGUAAAUAAUAGCAUUUUCAUACGAGUACUAUGUAGUCAUUUAAAAUUAUGUCUUUCAGUACCUAGUAAUGGGGAAAAUGUAUUCAUUAUAUAUUAUUAAAGAAAAUACAGGGUACAAAACACUGUA